UCUCUUUCUUUCUUUCCUGACAGAAUCUUACUCUGCCCAGCCUCUUUUUCUGUCUUUCUCAACCCCUCUCCUUACCUUCCCUUGCCCAUCAGUUUUUUUAUUGCUUCUAUUCCACAGUCCGGGUCUCUAAAUCAGAACACAGUCUACUAGCAGUGAAUCAAAGAAGAUAUUAAGAGCAGGGCAGAUCUAGUCAUAAACAUUGGGUGUUUGACUUAUCUCUUGGUUGCAAGGCUAUGGCCUUGUAAACCUUAGGCCUACAGCUCACUAGAACCUACGGUCCCAAGCAGCAGUUAGGAGCAGCUCAUUUUCAUUCUCUCUUCAUAACAUUGAGGGUGCCCCACCACUGUUCAGGUCUUUGAGCUUGUGCCUGGCUCCAGUCUCCCAUCUCCUAUGAAGCAUUUUCAAUCCCUUUUGCCCUACAAAAGCCAAACUACCAGCUACCCAGUUUCAGUCCUUUUCGCUGUUCACAGUUUCUAUUGCUCUCUGGAUUUUGGAUAUCUUUAUCUGGUAUUUGAGCCUGACUAUAUCUUUUAGUUUUCUUUUUCUUUUCCUUUUUUGUUAUUAUUAUUAUUAUUUUUUGACAGAGUCUUAUUCUGUCUCCCAGGCUGGAGUGUAGUGGCAUAAUCAUAGCCCACUGCAGACUCAAUCUCCUGGGCUCAAGUGAUCCUUCCACCUCAGCCUCCCAAGUAGCUGAGACUACAGGCACAUGCCACCAUGCCCAGCUAAUUGUUUAAUUUUUUGUACAGAUAGUGUCUUGCUAUUUUGUCCAGGCUGGUCUUGAACUCCUGGACUCAAGCAAUCCUGUCUCAGCCUCCCAAAAUGCUAGGAUUAUGGGCAUGAGCCACUGUGCCCAAGCCUUUGUUUUUGUUUUGUUUUGUUUUAUUUUUUAUUAAUUUAUUUUUUUGAGAUGGAGUUUCACUCUUGUCACCCAGGCUGGAGUGCAAUGCUGCGAUCUCAGCUCACUGCAACCUCCACCUCCUGGGUUCAAGUGAUUCUCCUACCUCAGCCUUUCAAGUAGCUGGGAUUACAGGCACGCCUGUCACACUCGGGAAAUUUCUGAAGUUUUAGUAUAGACGAAGUUUCGCCAUGUGGGCCAGGCUGGUCUUGCACUCCUGGCCUCAAGUGAUCCGCCCACCUCAGCCUCCCAAAGUGUUGGGAUUACAGGCCUGAGACACCACACCUGGCUGGGGGCACUCUAUUUUAAUGAGCACCAGUUCACAAGAAAUAAACAUUUCUGGCUCGGUGUGGUGGCUCAUGCCUGUAAAUCCAGCACUUUGGGAGGCCAAGACAAGCAGACCACUUGAGGCCAGGAGUUCAAGACCAACCUGGCCCACAUGGUGAAACUCCGUCUCUACUAAAACUACAAAAAUUAGUCAGGCGUGAUGGUGGGUGCCUGUAAUCCUAGCUACUCUGGAGGCUGAGGCAGGAGAAUCCCUUGAAUGUGGGAGGUGGAGGUUGCAGUGAGCUGAGAUGGCGCCACUGUACUCCAGCCUGGAUGACAGAGUGAGACUCCGUCUCAAAAAAAGAGAAAUAAACAUUUCUGAUGAGGUAGUGCAGACACGUAGUACCUUUCCAUGAAUACCCUUCUGGGGAAAAAAUCUGAAAUCUCGCACCCUGAAGGGAAAUGCAAAUUAAUUCCAUCACUUUCAUGAUACCGUCUUUGCCAUUCUUGUUAUAUCUUCUUUGGUUUUGAUGAAUCCUAUCGGGCUCUUUCCUCCCACACUUCUCAAUGUUUGUAGAAAAUAGGUCAUAAAAAUGAGCAGAAAGAGGCACACAAUCUUCUCAAAGUUAAUGGGCACUAAUGUGAAUGUUCCAUACCAUGUGAUAUUAGAAUGGUUAACUACUCAAUGACCUUCAGACAAUGUUCCCCAAACACCCAAGUUUUAUCAUCUGAAGGCUUGCAAUGUCCAACACAAGAGGAAACGGACCCUAUUGGUGCUUGUGCAUACCUGAUCUAAUCUGUUUCCACAACAACCCUAAGAGUAUUUUAUAUUUGGAGAAACUUAAUAUUAAAGAAGUUUAAGAAACUCCUUCCUCAUGACCACACAGCUAAAAAGUAACAGAACCAGGACUCAGACUUAGGCCUGCAUGACUCUAAGCCCAGGUUUUCUUGAAAUAAUACAGAAAAAGUACUCAAGACAGUCCCUGAUUCAUAGUAAGUUCCAGGUAAGUAUUGGCUAUUCUUUAUCAUAACUUACUUAUUUAUAAUUCUGUCAUUAUUAUUACGUUGCAACGUCUGUCAAAAGGGUGGCUCCCUCUUUCUUCUGACGAUGAUUCUCAUGUGCCUGAGACACAUCUGGAGACACAUUGAAGACAACUUCAUUAACAGACCCUGUUCACAUAGAAGCUUGAGAGCUGGUAUUUGUCUAAGUUGUAAGUAAAGACAUGCUUUUUCCCACUUUAUUUAAAAGCCACUUUUCAAAAGUUUUUUGAAAGCACAUCUUCUUCCCAUCGUUGCUCUACCUCUGACUUUUCUGUUGCUGACAUUUUCUUCAAAGGGUGACAUCUUAUUCAAAGAGUGAGUCUGCUGCAUUUCCUUUGGGAUUUCUUGAAGUCCCUAGGGGUCACUGGGCCAGCCAUCAUAGGUUUACCUCUUUCUCUAACUUUGUGAAGACAUGAUUGCCUUGUGACAUGCAUGGCAUGUGCAUCUCAGGCAUUCAGCACAAAUGCUGUGAAUAAGGCAGAUUGUUCUCCUUUUGCUUGGGGGAGAUAUGAGAAUCCACGUGAGUGCCACAUAGAUAAGAUAGAAUCAGGUCAAGUUUGUUGAUCGACAAGCUAGUCUGCAUGAAACUUCAUUCAACUUCUAAUUAACCUUCUAAUACUGUUGCUUUUUUACAUGCCAGAAAGGGGGUAUGAAAUUUCUUCUCUAAAGAAAAAUAGGAUAUACAGAUGUAUCUUUUACAUUAAUGCUGUACCAUCUGCAGCCACACUGGUAGCCACUCUUGAGUUUCCUAAAAAUUACACCUGUUUUGCUGCAAAGGAUAGUCAGCCACUGAAGUUCAAGUAUAUGUGAAACUAGAUGUUUUUUUUUUCUUUUCUUUUCUUUUCUUUUUUUUUUUUUUUGAGACAGAGUUUCGCUCUGUUCCCCAGGCUGGAGUGCAGUGACGUGAUCUCGGCUCACUGCAACCUCCGCCUCCCAGAUUCAGGCCUCAGCCUCCCGAGUAGCUGGGACUACAAGCACGGGCCACCAUGCCUGGCUAAUUUUUGUAUUUUUAGUAGAGACAGGGUUUCGCCAUGUUGGUCAGGCUGGUCUUGAAUUCCUGACGUCAGGUGAUCUGCCCCUCUCUACAUCCCAAAGUGCUGGGAUUACAGGCAUGAGCCACAGUGCCUGGCUGUGAAACUAGUUUUGAUGCUUCAUUUUUAUGUCAAAUUCAGUUCACAUUCUAGUGAAUAAAGAUGAGAAAAAGUAGCUGAGGAUGUUGGAGGAGACAUUAGGGAACUCUAGGGAAAUGAGGAAGGGAAGUGAGAAAGCAGAUGCAGGGAGAAAAUUUCUCCAGCAUCCCUUCUCCUACCACACGGGAAAUUCUGAAUACGUUCUCACAAAAUGUGGCUGAUAAUUAGAGUGACUGAACUUCCUGACUUGACUGCAACAGCCUCAGUUUUUUCCCAUUGCCCUGGCAUGAUUAUUAAUUUGCUUUUUUCAUUCUCAAAAGUGUGAGAUUUAAACAAUAAGUUUAAAAAGCCACCUUAUUCAUAAUCUAGUCCUCCAAAGUCUGGCUUCAUGUUAAUGUUUAUGUAAAAAAAAACAAUGAAUUUUUUUAACCAUCAAAGAUUACAUUUUAGCAAAUCAAAAUUCUGAUUUCUGCCUAAACUUUCUCAUAUACAAGUGAGUAUAGAAAUGUUGUUGGCACCACUCUAAGAAGGUUCUGACAAGCAUUCUCAAAUUAGUUGAAUUAGAGAAAUUAGCUUCAGUAGGAUUUUUGAAAUCAUAUAUCAUUUUAUCAGAUAAAAUGCUAUUUUCUUAGUUGAAAUCCAAAAUCAGAUUGUGUAGGGGUUAUUUAAACUUUCUUCUUCUGCUUCUGUUUUUUUUCUUUUGGUCACGUGUUCUGCCUUCACAACUCAUUGGUAGAGGUAGGAUGGUCUGAGUUGAGAAUAGUCCUAUUAUGUAAGACGGAUACAUCUGUUGGAAUAGAGGAGGCACUGGAUAGAAGCCCAACCAGACAGCUGAGCUCAGCAGCAAAAAAGUGGGUAGUAGUAUAAUCGCCCAGUGGGUUCACCUUGCCCACUGCCUAGACAGAGUCGAUUUAUCAAGGCAAGGGAAUUGCAAUAAAGAGUAAUUCACACAGACUCAGCUGUGCUGGAGACCAGAGUUUUAUUAUUACUCAAAUCAGUCUCUCUGAGCAUGGAAGGGGGAGGUCAGAGUUUUUAAAGAUAAUUUGACAGGUAGUGGCUCAGGAAGUGGGGAGUGCUGAUUGGUCAGGUUGGAGAUGGAAUCACAGGGGAUCAAGUGAGGUUUUCUUGCUGUGCUCUGUUCCUGGAUGGGAUCACAGAACUGGUUGAGCCAGAUUGCCAGUCUAGGUGGUAUCAGCUGAUCCAUCAAGUGCAGGGUCUACAAAAUAUCUCAAGCACUAAUUUCAGGUUUCGCAAUAGUGAUGUUAUCCCUAGAAGCAAUAGGGGAGGUUCCCACUCUUAUAGCCAGAGGCUGCAUGACCCCUAAACCAUAAUUUCUAAUCUUGUAGCUAAUUUGUUAGUCCUACAAAGGCAGACUGGUCCCCAGGCAAGAAGGAGGUCUUUUGGGGAAAGCGCUAUUAUCAAUUUUGUUUCAGAGUCAAACCAUGAACUGAAUUCCUUCCCAAGGCUAGUUCAGCCUACAGCUAGGAAUGAACAAAGAUGGCUUAAAGGUUAGAAGCAGGAUGGAGUGGAUUAGGUCUGAUCUCUUUCACUGCCAUAAUUUCCUCAUUUAUAAUUUUUGCAAAGGAGGUUUCAGCAGUAAGCAGGCUGGUUCAACAAUUCUUACAGGACAAGCCUACCCACAUGGCAUCAGCUUUAGGUAGUUCUCACAAGGCAGUUAGUUAAAUCUUCCAGCAUUCAGACUUGAACCAUUUAGCAAAUAGCCAGGUCAAAUUACUUUCAGCUAAGAAGAACCUUGGCAUGUAUCAGAAAGCAUGGGGUGAUUAUACUAUUAAUGCAGUGUCCCUUAAAUUUCCUCAAUUUUGGAUUUAGUGGAAGUCUACAGAGUCAUAGGAAUUCAGCAGGCCAUCUGAAGCCAGUGGAAGCAAUAUUUUCUGAGUUUUUCCUAAGCAGGGUUUUUGACUAUUUACUUGGAAAUUAUUAAAAGGAUGAGUCUGCUGCAUAUCCUUUGGGAUAUUUUGUAUAUAUUUCCUUUGGGAAGAGCUAUACGCUUCUCAACUUCCUCUCAUCUCAGCCAUCAUGAUAUGUAUUGGUAAAUCAAUGAAUUUUUUUCAUCACAUUUUUCAAUAUAUUCCCUAGACUUUCAGAUGUCUCUGCCUUGUUACUGCAGAUCAUUUCCCUUUGUCCAAACUCUCACCUGCUACUCCAGUUAGAAGCAACCCAUCAUUUGUGUUAAAUAAAUACAGAAAUAUUUAAUUUAUUUAAUAUUAAAUAUUAAUAUUUAGCUGGGACUACAGGCAUGUGCCACCACACUCAGCUAAUUUUUGUAUUUUUUGUAGAGAUGGGAUUUCACCAUGUUGCCCAGGCUGGUCUCGAACUCCUGGACUCAAGUGAUCCACCCACUUCGGCCUCCCAAAGUACUGGGAUUAUAGGCAUAAAUUAAAUAAAAACAGUUUGGCAUGAAUAUGAGGAGGAAGAGUCAAAGCAAGGAAGACCAGGAAUAGAAGUAGAGAGAAAAUUUUUUUACAGAAGAUAGUAAGAGAAGAAAGCAUGGGGGAAAAGAUGCAAGAAGAGAAGGAGAAUAUGAAAUAAGAGCCUCUCUUCAAUAAGAUUUGAGGGUUUUCUUCUCUCAGAGGACCUUAAGGAUGCCUGAAUUUAGCAGGAACAAUUAGGGACAGUAAGCGCAGACUACUUAGCAACUUAGUGCCCACGCCCACCCACACCACCCCUAUAUCUAUACCAGCACACUGUUGUAUAGCAAAUACAGUCAUCCAUAAGUCACAGGGUACUGACAAAGUUUUAGAUUCAGUCUUUGUGACUGUGAUGAGGAUGUCUCAGGUGUAGUGCUUGGCUCUGUGUUACUUGCCAAUUACACCUGGUUGGAUGUAAGAGACCAACGUUUUGGGGUCCACAUCUCUUCUGUGUGGUAGUUGCUUUCCUGUGUUCUUGUCUUGCAGUGAAUUCAUGAGGACUUUUACUCUAGAUGAGUAGUGUGAACCUGAAAAUUUGAGACAGGUCUCAGUUAAUUUAGAAAGUUUAUUUUGCCAAAGUUGAGGACGUGCACUUGUGACACAGCCUCAGUAGGUCCCGACAACAUGUGUCCAGGAUGGCCAGAGCACAGUUUGGUUUUAUACAUUCUAGGGAGACAUGAGACAUCAAUCAACAUAUGCAAGAUGAACACUGGUUUGGUCUGGAAAGGUGGGACAACUCAAAGCAAAGGCAGGAAGACUUGAAGCAGGGAGGCGGCUUCCAGGGCAUAGGUAGAUAGAAGACAAAUGGUUGCAUUCUUUUGGGUUUCUGGUUAGCCUCUCCAAAGGAGGUGAUCAGACGUGGAUUCAUCUCAGUGAGCAGCAGGGUGAGUUUGAAUAGAAUGGCAGGCAGGUUGGCCCUAAGCAGUUCCCAGCUUGACUUUUCCCUUUAGCUUAGUGAUUGGGGGUCCCAAGAUUAAUUUUCCUUUCACAGUAGUCAUGUUCUUUAGGCCAUUUAGCCUAGCCUCCUUCAAUAUGGAACAGGGGUUGGACUAGAAAAUCCCUAAAUGCCCUGUGGCUCCAGCAUUCUAGAAUUAUGAAAUAAUUCAGCAACAUAGGACGUACAUCUCUUUGGAAUAUCAAAGUCUUCCUUAAGGAGCAAGAAGGAUGUCAUUUUCCUUGGGAAAUUAGGACUUGAAGAAAGAAAUACAGAAGUUUAAAGUAGAUUAUUGAGCAUUAUGUCACACUUAGAGAGAUUCGUCUCAAUAGUUCCUAUCUGUCUAAUUUCUGUUUCUGGGGUACUGAAGUCAAUACUAUCUAGAUAGGCCUCACAAUAAUCUCUUAUUUUAUUCCAUCCCUCUUCUAUAUGGGGGACUAAAUCAGGAAGUUGCAGGCUUUUUUUUUAUUCCUCCUCCUCCUCCUUCUUCUUCGACAGGGUCUUACUAUGUUAGCCAGGGUCGUCUCAAACUCCUGGCCUCAAGUGGUCCUCCUGCCUAAAAGUGCUGGAAGUAGAGGGGUGAGCCACCACUCCCAGCCAAAACUUUUUCUGUAAAGGACAAUAUAGCAAAUAUUUUAGGUUUUGCAGGCCAAAGAGACAGAUCAAGGAUAUUAUGAAGGUACUUGUGUAACCAUUUAAAAUGUAACAAUUUUAAUUUAACUGAAUUUUAAGUAAAAGUCCCCAUAAAAACCCCAUCUAAAGGUCAGCAGCCUCAAAGAUUUAAGGUAGAUAAACUCAUAAGAUGAGAAAGAAUCAAUGAAAAAACCGCCGGAGCCUCAAAAAGCCAGAGUGCCUCUUCUCCUCCAAAUGAUCAUGACAAUUUUAAAAUGUAGGAAUCAUUCCUAACUAGUAUGCUAUACAAAGAGCAGCCAGCAGGCUGGAUUUAGCCCACAGGCCAUAGUUUGCCAACCUCUGGACCAGAAUGAUAUGAAAGGGAAGGAACCAAUCCAGAGACAUUUGUG
rnacentral:lncRNA from 1 species